rnacentral:rRNA from 1 species
AUUAAACUUAAGAGUUUGAUUCUGGCUCAGGAUGAACGCUGGCGGCGUGCUUAACACAUGCAAGUCGAAUGUAGUUUACUACAUGGCGGACGGGUGAGUAACGCGUGAGCAACCUGCCCAUAUCUGGGGGAUAACAGUUGGAAACGACUGAUAAUACCGCAUAACAUCGUCUGAAGGCAUCUUCUAACGAUCAAAGAU